rnacentral:rRNA from 1 species
GAUGAACGCUGGCGGCGUGCCUAAUACAUGCAAGUCGAGCGAACGGACGAGAAGCUUGCUUCUCUGAUGUUAGCGGCGGACGGGUGAGUAACACGUGGAUAACCUACCUAUAAGACUGGGAUAACUUCGGGAAACCGGAGCUAAUACCGGAUAAUAUUUUGAACCGCAUGGUUCAAAAGUGAAAGACGGUCUUGCUGUCACUUAUAGAUGGAUCCGCGCUGCAUUAGCUAGUUGGUAAGGUAACGGCUUACCAAGGCAACGAUGCAUAGCCGACCUGAGAGGGUGAUCGGGCCCCCUGGAACUGAGACACGGUCCAGACUCCUACGGGAGGCCGCAGUAGGGAAUCUUCCGCAAUGGGCGAAAGCCUGACGGAGCAACGCCGCGUGAGUGAUGAAGGUCUUCGGAUCGUAAAACUCUGUUAUUAGGGAAGAACAUAUGUGUAAGUAACUGUGCACAUCUUGACGGUACCUAAUCAGAAAGCCACGGCUAACUACGU